rnacentral:rRNA from 1 species
CCUACGGGAGGCAGCAGUGAGGAAUAUUGGUCAAUGGACGCAAGUCUGAACGAGCAAAGCCGCGUGCAGGAAGACGGCUCUAUGAGUUGUAAACUGCUUUUGUACGAGGGUAAACGCAGAUACGCGUAUCUGUCUGAAAGUAUCGUACGAAUAAGGAUAGGGUAACUCCGUGCCAGCAGCCGCGGUAAUACGGAGGAUUCAAGCGUUAUCCGGAUUUAUUGGGUUUAAAGGGUGCGUAGGCGGUCGGGGAAGUUCGAGGUGAAAUUCCGAGGCUCAACUUCGGAAUUGCUUAUGAUAAUGUUCGGCUAGAGAGUAGUUGCGGUAUGCGGAAUGUAGGGUGUAGCGGUGAAAUGCUUAGAGAU